rnacentral:rRNA from 1 species
UACAGAGGGUGCAAACGUUGUUCGGAAUUACUGGGCGUAAAGCGCGUGUAGGCGGUUGGGUAAGUCGGAUGUGAAAGCCCCGGGCUCAACCCGGGAAGUGCAUUCGAUACUACUUGGCUAGAGUACUGGAGAGGAUGGUGGAACUCUCGGUGUAGAGGUGAAAUUCGUAGAUAUCGAGAAGAACACCGGCGGCGAAGGCGGCCAUCUGGACAGAUACUGACGCUGAGGUGCGAAAGCGUGGGGAGCAAACAGG